UAAGUUAAUGUUUAAAAAAAUUAAUUAUUUUUUAACAUAAAAAGCCCAAUUAGUCUUAGUAUUGCACGUGGGUAGAGACAAUAGAGAGUUAGAGACACCACUAUAUUGUUUCAUUUUGUUUGUUGACUUUUGAGUCUUGUGCUGUUUCUUAUUUUUGGGCCGUGAACUAUUACAUCACCCAACAUUUUCGUUUUACAGUAUUUUAUUUCGGACGGAUCACAAAAGGCCCACUUAAUCCUUGUUUUUGUUUUGGUCUUAUGACGGCUGGAACCUGGAACCUUCACGGCUUCGCGUAGCAAGAAAAUGAAACAAGUAUACAAGAGCAUUUCCAAUGAUAGAAAAUUAUACUACGUAUGACACUUUCAAACCCCAACCAAAUUUCAUAAAAUUGACGCUUCUUUAUCAUAAUAGUUGAUCAAGUGAAAUCAGCAAUCUUCGGCGAUAUUGAAAAGAACAAGAAGUAUAUAUCAAGAUGAUGUUCUACCAAUUGUUAAAUAAAAUUUAAAGGCAAAAAUUGCAAAGGGGCGUGCAAUUGAGGAACUUCGAAAGGGGGUAAGGAAACUUCGGCACUUGAAGAAAUUUAUAUUAGCUAUCAUCAAGACAAGUGGACAUGGACGUUUGUAUAUAGUAAACAAAACGAGAUACGUUACUCGGGCGUUGCCUCGGGAGAUAUUAUAUUUAUUUUGUUUCGUACUAUGUAAAAAUUAUUACAUGUUUUUAGAAAUAUUAUAUAGCUCAAAA